CACGGGGGGAGCAAGCGUUGUUCGGAAUCACUGGGCGUAAAGGGCGUCUAGGCGGUCAGGUAAGUGGGACGUGAAAUACCUCGGCUCACCCGAGGGACUGCGUUCCAAACUGCUUGGCUUGAGUAUGGGAGAGGAUGUGGGAAUUCCUGGUGUAGCGGUGAAAUGCGUAGAUAUCAGGAGGAACACCGGUGGCGAAGGCGCACAUCUGGCCCAAUACUGACGCUGAAGCGCGAAAGCUAGGGGAGCAAACGGG
rnacentral:rRNA from 1 species